rnacentral:lncRNA from 1 species
CCAAGACAGUUGUUCAGCAGUUCUUCAAGUACCGUGAAGGUAAAGAGGCAGAAAGGAGGAUGUUCUCAAAAUCCAAAAAGAAAUCAAUGAAAACAGUGAAGGUAUAAAUAAAAAGUUUUUUAAAUGUUAAUCUGUUGUCUGACAACACUUUUCUAAUAUGUGACCACUUUUUUUUCCUAAAAUGUAAUCUAGAUUUCUGUUGGGAUCAUGAACAAACAAAAGACUGGCAUGAGACCCAUAAGAGGGAAAUCACUACCAUUACAUGUUGACCCAAGCUGGUCAUCUGAGAGGCUGUUGGGUGCUGCCAUUAAAAAACUGAAAGAUUUCAACCAAGAUAUGAAAGAUGUAGAAUACAUCCUGCUCUACCCUGAUGGCUCUCAAAUAAAAAAUAUUCCAGGAACUGACACACCCUUUACGAUUGAACUCUACAAAGAGGCCGUUGGCAAGUCUUACCAAAGAAUUACACUAUUUGUCUGCACACUUGAGGACUUUUUGUCAGAAUGUGAGUUAAAUAGAAUUGCCAUUAAUUCUUUUUUAUAGUCAUAUUGUUAAAGAAUCUUGUGAUUACUGUGUUGAAGAUUUUAACCAAAGUAUUUCAUACGUUCCCACAGAUGUUAGUGCUUCAGAAGAUGAGGAGGAUGAUGAAGUUAUCGUUAGGGUACCACCCGUUACGUCACCCCUCUCUGACACAGUGGUAUGUAAAUCUCAAGGAUUCAUUAGUUCGAGAUGUUAGUGCUCUCAGUUCCGGCAUAAUGCAUUCAAUGUCUGAAUAUAAGACUAAUAUCAUUCUAUCGUUGUGUAUAUAUAGUGGUAAGAAUCUGAGCAGCCAUAAUCAACGAGUUUGGUGUUUGAUGAUUUUAUCUGACAGCUUUGGUCAAGUCCAGAAAGCAGUACACCAGAGCCUAUACGUCGGUCACCUUCAAUAUCCCAAACAUCUGAUGUGCAAGUACAUAAUACUCUUUUGUAUAACAAUGUUGCAUAUUUAA